UAAAUAGGACGUUGCUGAAAAUAUGAACCAAUCAAACUGGUUGUUGCUGCUAAACUCGGACCGGAACAGAGGCUUCGAGAUGCCAACAAAUGCUCGACAGAAUGACACCCAAGGUAAAGGUGCUCUACGGUUUCUGGCAGCCAUACAGUACCGGUCCAGCCAUGAGCUCUCGGGGACCCUUUUAGCUCGCCGCUCCGAUCACCACGCCUUCACCGUCCCUGGCAUAUCUCGGAUCCGGAACGGAGGCUUCAACGUGCCCCACAAGUGCUCGAUAAAAGGACACUCUAGUGCAGGUGCUGGAGAGUGGUUCUGGAUUUGAUCAUGAAAGGUGACUCUCCUGCAAUAUUUUCUUGAUGGAAAAGGUAAGGAAGUAGUAGUAUUAGUAGUACAAUAUUGUAGGCAUGGCCUUGUUCUCAGAGUCUAAGUCUUUUUCUGACAACAUGGUUUUCUGUGCAUCGAUUGUUCAAGAUUUUUCUUUUGAGAGAGUAUUUGAAGGAUGCUUAAGUUAUCUAUGGUCACUUGGUUUUCCUAGUCAGAAGAACAUUUAUCUUCCAAUUUGUUAAUUGCUGUUUUUGUUGUUAAGCUGAGUCAAUUCAAUCA